GCCUGGGUGGCUCAGUCGGUUGAGCGUCCGACUUUGGCUCAGGUCAUGAUCUCGCAGUUUGUGAGUUCAAGCCCCACAUCAGGCU
rnacentral:tRNA from 1 species